CAGCACCUUUAACCCAUUAUGUAAAGAAACAUGAUUCACGUCAUAAAACAACGAGGAUGGUUAUGAGAUCUCGUUUUCACGUCAUACCGCAGGGAAGAACGAUGACCCCGGAUCGAGCACGCCCGUUGCCGAACAUUUUCCGCAAGCUUUUCUCCUGAUAAGGUCUCAAGACAGCGGAUGGUUUCAAGUCAAUGCUGGAAAUGGAAAGAAAAGAAUGAUAGUGGAGGAAAUCGUGAAAGACAUAGAAUAAGGAAAAAGAUCGUAGUCGCUUGAUCGAUUAGGAAUUCAACGUACUUUAUAUCAGCAUUGACGGUAUCGUUUCUAAAAUCGUACUCGGCGAGUAAAGGAUGUUCAAGUUCGAUGCAUCGUUUUUGUAUGACUUCAA